CCAGUUUUUCUUUACCUUUGUGGUUGCUGGGCGACUGGGGUGUCUGGUACCUGCUGCAGCAAGUCUCAGAAAAUGCCACACCGCUUGUUCUCUUCAAUCGAGGAGGAGCUCUUAUUGAUCUUCCAUGGAGCUCCAACAUGACCAAACUGUGCUGAAAAUAUCAGAUCGGUGAAAAAGACGAACCUGCCUUCACAAACAAACGCGGUCUCUCUGCCCAAUGCUCGAGUUUUGAAGCUUAAGAAGUACUUCUUUCACUAGAAGGGGAAGCUAUGGAUGCCUUUCUCUUUCCCCUUUGCUGAAGAUCUCGCUCUUUUCAGCUCAAAAAACAGUUACUGGAGGCUUCGGGUACUUUGCUUUAGAUUUGGAUGUUUUCAUGCCGGUGGACAAGCCUGUUCAUACUUAUGAUUGCAAGAUCACCCAACUAUGCUGUUGAUCCAAUUAUUAAAAACAAGGGUGGUCCUUCGGUUGGAUAUUGCAACACUGCCACCAUGCUGAAGCAGAUUCUGAGCAAACUACCUCGGAAGCUACCAAAAGCAGACCGAGAUUCUGGAGGGAGUGAUUCUGGCAACACUACUACCAAUUUGGGCAGUGGCUUUCAAUGUACAAACGUUGGUAGUGCCCUUUCAAGCAAGUUAAAUGUUGUGAAACGGGUGUCUUCGGCAGUUUUUCCCACAAGCACUGCAACUGGAGUUGAAGCAGUGGAAGCUCAUCUAUCCUUCAAAGAUGUUUCGAAUUCCCAAAAGCAGAAUCUUUUCGUCAGCAAGUUGAACCUGUGCUGUGAGGUUCAUGAUUUUAAUGAUCCAGAUAAGCAAGAUAUUAAACGUCAAGCAUUGUUAGAACUCGUUGAUUUUGUUUCUGCUGGAUCUGCGAAGUUCACUGAACCAGCAAUUGCUGCAUUGUGUAAAAUGUGUGCAGCUAACCUGUUCAGGGUUUUCCCACCUAAAUAUCGUUCUAAUUGUGCUGGGGGUGAGACAGAAGAUGAAGAACCAAUGUUUGAUCCUGCUUGGUCACUUCUGCAAAUUGUGUAUGACCUACUUCUUCGAUUUAUCGGUUAUAGUUCUCUUGAUGCAAAGGUGGCCAAAAAGUAUAUAGAUCAUUCUUUUAUUUUGAGAUUACUUGACCUCUUUGAUUCUGAGGACCCAAGGGAAAGAGACUGUUUGAAAACAAUCCUGCAUAGAAUAUAUGGGAAAUUCAUGGUCCAUAGGCCUUUUGUUCGAAAGGCUGUUAGCAAUAUCAUCUAUCGAUUUGUUUUAGAAACUGAGCGACAUAAUGGAAUUGCUGAGCUGUUGGAGAUUUUUGGGAGUGUGAUUAGUGGGUUCGCGUUGCCUUUGAAGGAGGAACACAAGAUGUUCCUAUGGAGGGCCAUGAUUCCUCUGCACAAACCAAAAUCAAUUGGAAUUUAUCAUCAACAAUUAACCUAUUGUGUUGUACAGUUUAUAGAUAAGGAUCCAAAGUUGGCCAGCACUGUGAUUAAGGGACUGUUGAAGUACUGGCCAGUUACAAAUAGCCAGAAGGAAUUGAUGUUUAUAAGCGAGUUGGAAGAGAUUUUGGAAAUGACUAGUAUGGUUGAGUUCCAGAAGAUCAUGGUCCCUCUGUUUCGGCGCUUAGGAUGCUGUCUCAAUAGCUCUCAUUAUCAGGUGGCUGAACGUGCCCACUUGCUAUGGAAUAACGAGCACAUCCUUAAUCAUGUCUCACAUAACAGGCAGGUGAUUCUGCCUCUAGUGUUCCCAGCUCUUGAGCGGAACACUAAGAAUCACUGGAAUCAAGCUGUGCUCAACCUGACUCUAAAUCUGAGGAGAAUGCUUUCUGAGAUGGAUGAGGAGCUGGUGAUUGCCUGCCAACGUAAGUUGGAGGAGGAAGAUUCAAGGUUAAGUGUGGAAGCUGAGAAGCGGAGAUUGACAUGGGAACGCCUGGAAAUUGCUGCUGGUCUCCAACAUUAGCUGGUAAUCUUAGUUCUGUAAAACCUGGCUCGUGCUCUGUCUCUUGCUAAUUACGUUGGUAACAAUCCGGGGGAAACAAAUCAGAAAAGUCAUUGUCACAGCUUUAUUAUAGUACCGGACAUAGGUUGUUGAAUAUUACCUAGACUGGAAUGCCAAUAGGGUUUCCAUCUGCACUAAGAUGCUGUGUUGUAAUUGUGUUGAGUGGUUAUGCUGCUGCCUUGAAGGUUCUUUCUGUGCACAGGAGGUUGGGUUGACGGGAUUGCUUGCAAUUGUGUGAAUUGAUCUCUCCUGUAUCCUUUGCCCAAGAGCUGAUUGUUCUUACCUAUAUUUCUAUUUAUUCUGUUGUGCCCCUUAA